GCUGGGAUUAGGCAUGCAAGUCGGACGGUAGGGCUUUAUCGUAAGAUAGAGUUUGAGAGUGGCGAACGGGUGAGUAACACGUAGGAAUCUACCCUUAAGACGGGGACAACCCAGGGAAACUUGGGCUAAUACCGGAUGAGAGUGCGAGAGAUUGCAUUUAAAAGGAUGGCGAAAGUUGUCGCUUAGGGAUGAGCCUGCGGUCUAUUAGUUAGUUGGUGAGGUAAGAGCUCACCAAGGCGAUGAUAGAUAGGCGGCCUUAACGGGUGGUCGCCCACACUGGGAUUGAGAUACGGCCCAGACUCCUACGGGAGGCAGCAGUCGAGAAUAGUCUACAAUGGCCGGAAGGCUGAUAGUGCGACGCCGCGUGAACGAGGGAGCCCUUCGGGGUGUAAAGUUCUUUUCUAUACGAGCAGUGCUAUAUAUAUGGAUAGUAUAUAUAGAGGGAUAGUAGUAUAGGAAUAAGCAACGGCUAACUCCGUGCCAGCAGCCGCGGUAACACGGGGGUUGCGAGCGUUGUCCGGAAUUACUAGGCGUAAAGGGCAGGUAGGCGGAUCUACGAGUUUUUUGUUAAAGGCUACGGCUCAACUGUAGUAGAGCAGGAGAUACUGUAGGUCUGGAAUGCGGUAGGGGAAGACAGAAUUCCUGGUGUAGCGGUGGAAUGAGCAGAGAUCAGGAGGAAUACCGAAGGCGAAGGCAGUCUUCUAGGCCGUAAUUGACGCUUAACUGCGAAGGUGUGGGGAUCAAACAGGAUUAGAUACCCUGGUAGUCCACACAGUAAACGAUAAUCACUAGAUGUCGGGUUCUAGAUGGAUUCGGUGUCGGAGCUAACGCGAUAAGUGAUUCGCCUGGGGAGUACGAUCGCAAGGUUGAAACUCAAAGGAAUUGACGGGGGCUCACACAAGCGGUGG
rnacentral:rRNA from 1 species